rnacentral:lncRNA from 1 species
AUCCCAGUUCUUCACAUCACGGAUUCUUUGCUUGGGGUAGCAGUCGAACUCGUGCCCAAUUACCAGAAAUCCAAACUCUGCAGUUCCAACAUACAAUUAAAAGCAAUAUAUUAUAAUGGUUACUGGUUAAGAUAAACUGAAAGAAAGUAGCACAAAGGCCAAACCUUUAACAGGGUCAAUUUGUGAAAGGUCAAUAUUAUCCCAAU